rnacentral:lncRNA from 1 species
GCUGCGCUUGGAGGGAAGCAGGGCCGCAAGGUUGGUGGGGCCGACCCUCUCGUACCCGGGCGGCCGCGGGGCAUGCUGGGAGUUGUAGUUCGAUGUUGGUUUAGGGUUUGGGGCGUGGAGGCUCCAAAGUCUAGGUUUGACUUCAGCCUGCCCCUGAUAGAUAGUUCCCGGGCCGCAGGUGACCCGUUAUUGACUGCCGUUAAGGACCGUUACUAUUCUCGGGUAAGUGAGAGAGACAGGCCCGCGGGUGCGACUUGCCGGGACCCGAAGGUCCGGCCCCUUCUCAGAGGGGACUUUCCUGCUAGAAGCCAGAUGGGCUUCUGGCAGCUUUACUCACGGGAUUCUAGACAGCCCCAGGUCGUUGGCAAUUUAAGGCCUCAUGAGAGGAGACAGGAUUGUAGUGUGCAAAAAAACUGCCUCCGAGCCUGGAGACCCGACUGUUCGGCAUGCAGGGCUUGCUGCAUCUUGACCUCCAGAUACCGAGGUAUUGGUCUCUACAGAGCCCUUCUGCACAUAUUGUCCCUUUUAUUUCCUGAUGUAUACCCACAAGAGCCUUCCACUAUUUAAUGGGCAUAUGAUCUUAUCAACAAGCUUAGAAUGUAGUUGCCAUCAUUCC